AAAUCAUGUAGCUUCUCUCAUCUCAACACCCCCCUCAAGUUGGAGGGGGAAACCACCUGCAACUUGGUGAGCAGCGGAAGAAGUAAAGUGCCAGGCAAGGGCUUCGUGAGCAAGUCGGCCAGCUGACGAGAAGUAGGCAUAUGAAGCAACUUGAGAAAACCAGAAAGUAGCAAGUCCCGAACGAAAUGGCAAUCCACCUCGAUAUGUUUGGUACGUUCAUGAAAAAACAGGAUUGUUAGCAAUAUGAACAUCAGCCAUACUGUCACAAUAUACAGAAAUAGGAGAGGAAACAGAUACCCCAAGGUCAACCAACAAACGAGAGAGCCAAGUCAACUCAGCAACAACCUUGCUAAGGGCUCGAUAUUCUGCCUCAGCAGAGGAGAGAGAAACAACAUGCUGUUUCUUCGAUUUCCAACUGAUCAAACAGCCACCCAAAAGCACACAAAA
rnacentral:lncRNA from 1 species